UUAGAGGGAAGGGGGUGAAGGAGUGAUUACUCUUUCUCUCUGCAUCUCUCCCUCUUCUGCAAUCUCUUCCAAACUUUUUGAAGACUUCAUCUCCUCCCUCUAUCCCUCUCUCCUCCUCCCUCUAUCCCUCUCUCCUCCUCUGUCUUCUCCCUUCUCCCUCUAUUCCUCUCUCCUCCUCCCUCUAUCCCUCUCUCCUCCUCUGUCUUCUCCCUUCUCCCUCUAGCCCUCUUUCCUCCUCUGUCUUCUCCCUCUAUUCCUCUCUCCUCCUCUGUCUUCUCCCUUCUCCCUCUCCCCUCCUCCCUCUAUCCCCCUCUCCUCCUCUGUCUUCUCCCUCCUCCCUCUAUCCAUCUCUCCUCCUCUGUCUUCUCCCUCUAUCCAUCUCUCCUCCACUGUCUUUCCCUUCUCCCUCUCUCCUCCUCUGUCUUCUCCCUCUAUCCAUCUCUCCUCCUCUGUCUUUCCCUUCUCCCUCUAUCCAUCUCUCCUCCACUGUCUUCUCCCUUCUCCCUCUCUCCUCAUUUGUCUUCUCCCUUCUCCCUCUCCCCUCUCCCCUCCUCCCACUAUCCCCUCUCCUCCUCUGUCUUCUCCCUUCUCCCUCUAUCCCUCUCUCCUCCUCCCUCUAUCCCUCUCUCCUCCUCUGUUUUCUCCCUUCUCCCUCUAUCCAUCUCUCCUCCUCCCUCUAUCCAUCUCUCCUCCACUGUCUUUUCCCUUCUCCCUCUAUCCAUCUCUCCUCCACUGUCUUCUCCCUCUAUCCCUCUCUACUCUGUCUUCUCCCUUCUCCCUCUAUUCCUCUCUCCUCCUCUGUCUUCUCCCUUCUCCCUCUCUCCUCAUCUGUCUUCUCCCUUCUCCCUCUCCCCUCCUCCCUCUAUCCCCCUCUCCUCCUCUGCCUUCUCCCUUCUCCCUCUAUCCCCCUCUCCUCCUCUGCCUUCUCCCUUCUCCCUCUAUCCCCCUCUCCUCCUCUGCCUUCUCCCUUCUCCCUCUAUCCCUCUCUCCUCCUCCCUCUAUCCCUCUCUCCUCCUCUGUCUUCUCCCUUCUCCCUCUAUUCCUCUCUCCUCCUCCCUCUAUCCCUCUCUCCUCCUCUGUCUUCUCCCUUCUCCCUCUAGCCCUCUUUCCUCCUCUGUCUUCUCCCUCUAUUCCUCUCUCCUCCUCUGUCUUCUCCCUUCUCCCUCUCCCCUCCUCCCUCUAUCCCCCUCUCCUCCUCUGUCUUCUCCCUCCUCCCUCUAUCCAUCUCUCCUCCUCUGUCUUCUCCCUCUAUCCAUCUCUCCUCCACUGUCUUUCCCUUCUCCCUCUCUCCUCCUCUGUCUUCUCCCUCUAUCCAUCUCUCCUCCUCUGUCUUUCCCUUCUCCCUCUAUCCAUCUCUCCUCCACUGUCUUCUCCCUUCUCCCUCUCUCCUCAUUUGUCUUCUCCCUUCUCCCUCUCCCCUCUCCCCUCCUCCCACUAUCCCCUCUCCUCCUCUGUCUUCUCCCUUCUCCCUCUAUCCCUCUCUCCUCCUCCCUCUAUCCCUCUCUCCUCCUCUGUUUUCUCCCUUCUCCCUCUAUCCAUCUCUCCUCCUCCCUCUAUCCAUCUCUCCUCCACUGUCUUUUCCCUUCUCCCUCUAUCCAUCUCUCCUCCACUGUCUUCUCCCUCUAUCCCUCUCUACUCUGUCUUCUCCCUUCUCCCUCUAUUCCUCUCUCCUCCUCUGUCUUCUCCCUUCUCCCUCUCUCCUCAUCUGUCUUCUCCCUUCUCCCUCUCCCCUCCUCCCUCUAUCCCCCUCUCCUCCUCUGCCUUCUCCCUUCUCCCUCUAUCCCCCUCUCCUCCUCUGCCUUCUCCCUUCUCCCUCUAUCCCCCUCUCCUCCUCUGCCUUCUCCCUUCUCCCUCUAUCCCCCUCUCCUCCUCUGCCUUCUCCCUUCUCCCUCUAUCCCCCUCUCCUCCUCUGCCUUCUCCCUUCUCCCUCUAUCCCCCUCUCCUACUCUGCCUUCUCCCUUCUCCCUCUAUCCCCCUCUCCUCCUCUGCCUUCUCCCUUCUCCCUCUAUCCCCCUCUCCUCCUCUGCCUUCUCCCUUCUCCCUCUAUCCCUCUCUCCUCCUCUGCCUUCUCCCUUCUCCCUCUAUCCCCCUCUCCUCCUCUGCCUUCUCCCUUCUCCCUCUAUCCCUCUCUCCUCCUCUGCCUUCUCCCUUCUCCCUCUCUCCUCCUCUAUCUUAGGUAAAAAUCUAGAUUCAGCUGAAUCUAGUUGUCUACCCCUCCCUGACCAGCCUCUCAGCUGAAUC
rnacentral:lncRNA from 1 species